UUAGUCAUCUGAGGAACCCUAGAGUUGCCCUUAUCAAUGAAUCCAUCCUUAGGACUUCUAUUAGAUUUAUUU
rnacentral:sRNA from 1 species